rnacentral:rRNA from 1 species
AGCUCCAACAGAAUAUAUUAAAGUCGCUGCAGUUAAGAAGCUCGUAGUUGGAUUUGUGGAGCGGCCAUCCGGCGCGGCGCCAGCACUUCGUAGCAGGUGAUCGCUAGUCCCGGCUUCGCGGCCGCUCCUUUCGCGGGAAGCGAGUGGCUGGCACUAGGUUGUCGGCCGCUUCGCGCCCGUCUUUUACUGUGAGAAAAUUAGAGUGUUCAAAGCAGGCUUAGGCCGUGUUGGGUACAUCAGCAUGGAAUAAUGAGAUAAGGCCGCGGUGGUCUUUUCUGUUGGUUUGCCCACACGCCGCAAUGAUUAAAAGGAACGGUUGGGGGUAUUCGUAUUCAACUGUCAGAGGUGAAAUUCUUGGAUUUGCGGAAGACGAACUACUGCGAAAGCAUUUACCAAGGAUGUUCUCA